rnacentral:rRNA from 1 species
UACGUAGGGGGCAAGCGUUGUCCGGAAUUAUUGGGCGUAAAGAGCUCGUAGGCGGCUUGUCGCGUCUGCUGUGAAAACUCGGGGCUUAACUCCGGGCCUGCAGUGGGUACGGGCAGACUAGAGUGCGGUAGGGGAGACUGGAAUUCCUGGUGUAGCGGUGAAAUGCGCAGAUAUCAGGAGGAACACCGGUGGCGAAGGCGGGUCUCUGGGCCGUAACUGACGCUGAGGAGCGAAAGCGUGGGGAGCGAACAGG